UUCUUUAACCAUUUUGACUUCAAAGAACAAACGUGCUGCCUCAAAGUCUCCCAGCUACUCCCUGGGCUCUCUCAGGUACCUGCCCUCUCAGACACUUUUGGCCCAGAACAUCGACUCACCGCUUGGAUUGAAGGGACACAACGCUUUUGUAUAGGUAAUUAGGUCCAGAGGAAAAUGUGAUCGCCUGCCAGCCUGCCCAGACAGUGGGAGAGGCCUGAGAAGCUACAUAUCUCCGCCAUGCCUACCCCAAACCUCUACUAGCUUUCAGCCAUGGGGGUGUGCUCUGCAAUCCUAUAGCACAUGCUGGAAUGCUGUUUGAAUACAAGCUGCUAUAGGUAAUAAAGUUUAUCAGAAUGGCUUGUCA